rnacentral:rRNA from 1 species
ACGGUGAGGGACGAAAGCUGGGGGAGCGAACCGGAUUAGAUACCCGGGUAGUCCCAGCUGUAAACGAUGCGGGCUAGGUGUAGGGGCAGCUACGAGCUGCUCCUGUGCCGCAGAGAAAUUGUUAAGCCCGCCGCCUGGGGAGUACGAUCGCAAGAUUGAAACUUAAAGGAAUUGGCGGGGGAGCACCACAAGGGGUGAAGGCUGCGGUUUAAUUGGAGUCAACGCCGGGAACCUUACCGGGGCUGACAGCAGGGUGAAGGCCAGAUUGAAGCUCUUGCCAGACAAGCUGAGAGGAGGUGCAUGGCCGUCGGCAGUUCGUGCCGUGAGGUGUCCUGUUAAGUCAGGCAACGAACGAGACCCCCACCAUUAGUUGCCAGCGAAUUCCAACGGAAUGUCGGGCACACUAAUGGGACUGCCAUCGAUAAGAUGGAGGAAGGAGGGGGCAACGGCAGGUCAGUAUGCCCCGAAUGCCCCGGGCCACACGCGGCCUACAAUGGUAGGGACAGAGGGCUCCGACCUCGAGAGAGGAAGGUAAUCCCUAAACCCUAUCUCAGUUGGGAUUGAGGGCUGGAACCCGCCCUCAUGAACAUGGAAUCCCUAGUAACCGCGUGUCAUCAUCGCGCGGUGAAUACGUCCCCGCUCCUUGCACACACCGCCCGUCGUUCCACCCAAGUUGAGUUUAGAUGAGGCUUGGUCUUCUUGGCUAUGUCAAAUCUGGGCUCGAUGAGGAGGGAAAAGUCGUAACAAGGUAACCGUA